AGCGAACGCUGGCGGCAGGCCUAACACAUGCAAGUCGAGCGCCCAGCAAUGGGAGCGGCAGACGGGAUAGUAACACGUGGGAACGUACCUUUCAGUUCGGAACAACCCAGGGAAACUUGGGCUAAUACCGAAUACGUCCGUAAGGAGAAAGAUUUAUCGCUGAAAGAUCGGCCCGCGUCUGAUUAGCUAGUUGGUGAGGUAAUGGCUCACCAAGGCGACGAUCAGUAGCNGGUCUGAGAGGAUGAUCAGCAUCACUGGGACUGAGACACGGCCCAGACUCCUACGGGAGGCAGCAGUGGGGAAUAUUGGACAAUGGGCGCAAGCCUGAUCCAGCCAUGCCGCGUGGAUGAUGAAGGCCUUAGGGUUGUAAAGUCCUUUCGGCGGGGAAGAUAAUGACGGUACCCGCAGAAGAAGCCCCGGCUAACUUCGUGCCAGCAGCCGCCGUAAG
rnacentral:rRNA from 1 species